UAUCACUCGCUCUCUUCACUGCUGCAGCAGCUGGCGUGCGUCUUUUUUCCCUCGUAUUUCCCAUUCCCUGAAUCGAUUCAGCACACACACACAUAUAUAUAUACAUACACGAAAGCUCUUUCCAUCAUCACACACGGACCACCGUGUAACCGGCAGCACAACGUACCAGAGGUCGGACAAAAAGCUGCGCUGGACACAUCCCCACAAAAUGACGAUUACAGACUUCUUUGCUCGCUUAGAGAAGAAGUACCAGGUGUUGUUUAUCUUUAUCAUCUUCACCAUGAACAACGGAUUUGCCUGGCUCAUGUUCGAGCCUGUCGCCGAUUGGCUGAAGACGAAUGUGCAUGGAAUGACGAGCCGGUCGCUGCAGCUGCUGUCCUCGUGGCAGCCACUUGUCUUCCUCUGUACGUUCAUUCCUAUAAUGAAGCUGGUGACGAGGUAUGAUGGGCUGCGCCUCGCUGUGCGCAUCGGCACUGCUGCUGAGAUUGCGGGCGCUGCUUUUAAGCUCGUUGGCGCCUUUGCGCACAAGUCCACCUUUGGUCUAGUCAUGCUCAACAUUGGCCAGAUCUUCAGCGGUGUCGGCUCUCCUGUCGCCACCGGCGCUGUUUCGGCGCUGUCAGCCACGUGGUUCGAGCCGGAGGAGCGCACGCGUGCCACCGCGGCCUCGGUGCUAUUCAACAGUGUGGGCAACUCGCUGUGCUACAUCUUCAUCCCCACACUAACGAAAAAGCUGUCUUUUUCCGCAGUGACCGUCUACGAGCUGUUGAUGGCUGCCAUUGGUCUUAGUCUAGCCUGGGUUAUCAUGCCUCAGGAGCCGGAGUCGGCGGAGAUGUGCACGGAGACGAAGGAGCAGACGACGCUGCAGCACAGCGCCGCGUCAGAGUCAAAGAACGAUGGCGAUGUUGUGGUCCACUCCAAGGAGCACAUAUCGUUGGUGACGCAGCUGCGCUCUCUAUGGUCCAUUCCGUCGUGUGUGUGCCUGCUGGCUGUGUACGCGUGGCUGAGCGGUGGCUUCUCGGCAUGGAUCUCGCUCUUCGCCGACACCUACUCCAAGUUCUACUCGGAGGAGUUCAUCGGCAUCAUGAGCUUCUUCGGCAUGAUCGCCUACGUGGCGGGAGGUAUCGCCUCCUCCUAUGUGGUGGACCUGUAUUUCUCACGUCAGAUGAAGUACGUCAUCUUCUUCUGUAUCACCAUGAACAUGCUGUGCAAUCUCAUCUUCAUAGCCUGCACGCCGAACGACAAGAGCUACUCUCUGUGGAACCUGGGUCAGUCGUUCAUUGUCUUUUCUACGGCACUCUGCGGCUUCUGGAAUGGCGCCGCGGCUCCGCUUUUCUACGAGCUGGUGGCAGAGAUUUCGUUCCCCGUGGAGGAAGGCGUUAGUGGCAUUUGUAUCUCUGUCAUGGAGAACGUCGGCGCCCUCGUGUUUUACCAGGUCGUCUCCCGCUUCUUCACGGGCCAAUCAAUGAGCGUGGCAUACUCGUUCGGCAUGACAGUCGCCGUGGCGCUGACGGCCGCCGUGAAGCAGCGCUACAACCGCUCCUACCAUGCCUACCUGCUCCAGAACGCCGAGGAAGACUGCUAGAAGAAAUGGGGAGGGGAAAAAAGCGACUGAUUCGCCCACCGCUCUCGCCAUCGAUUUCACUUGUGGACCUCUUUGCAUUUCUCUCUCCCGCCUCGGGGGUAUAUCGGUGUCAUUGCUGGCUUGCCUAUCUCGAAGGAUACAGUGAUUCCUAGGUGAUACUAGAAGCGCAUGUCUCUUUCCCUCUCUGUGCGGGGUCGCGAAGGGGGGGCGCGUGUGUGCAGGCGAUCUUUGCUUGCACACACUGGUGUAGUCGUGCCGUGUGCCGUCGAAGAAGAGGCAAAUGGAAAGUCAGCACACCCAUUCAAGUCCAUGUCCACACACAUGCACGCAUGCCUACCGGUAGGCUGCUGACUCUUAUUUUUCACAUCUUUUUUUUUCGAUGGUUUCGUGCUUAUGUGCGUACAUGCGUAUUGGCCUUAUCACUAUAUUAUCAUCUCCUGUCUCCACCGACCAAAGGACUCCGCUCUCUCCAACUUAGAGAGAUGCCAAUGCAAGGCUUUUGUGCGUGCAUGUCUGUCCCUGUGUGCAUGUGUGCGUAGUAUACAAGAGAGUAAAAGAAAGACCCCUCUCCACAGCGCAGACACACGCAUGCGGUGGCGAGUGAGGGAGUAUGAUGCGUUUGCAUGUUGUUGUGUUGUUUUUCCUUUCUCAGAGUGCCGCGUCUCUUUUUCCUUUCUGCUGCUGGAGGUUCAUGUGGCUGCAGCGCUCAUGGCAUCCUACGAUUUGCUUUUGUGUUGAGCGUCAACGGUGAAGACGUGCGUGCGUGUGUGUGUGUGUGCGGCUGUGGCAUGUUCCUCUUCCCUGUAUGCUUCGCAGGCUUUCUCGCUGUGUCGCAAGUUUUUUUUUGUGUGCGCUUUAUCCUCGUGCUGCUCUCGCCUUUUCCCACGGUACAUGGCAUUUGCCUUCGUAGUGAGCAGCUUCCGUGCUGCUCGAUACGUCUGGAAGGUGGUGGGUGAAUAAAAGAUGCUCAAACCAUGAGGAUGUUGUCGUCUUCACCAUUGACUUUCACCCCCUACGAAACAUUACAAGCGGCCAGCACGUUUGCCGCUGAUACUGAAAUGAAUGCGUGCGGGUAUGUGCUGAGGUAGGGGUGUCUAUGAAUGCUGUGCUCUUUUUCAGGCUUCGUGCCCAUUCGUCUCAUUCAUGUGCCCUUUCUCUGUUUUAUUUGAUCAGUGCCAUAGGUGGAUAAGCGAGGACGCCAGCGCCAGUCGAGUGAGUGGCAGAAUAGAGCGGAAAAAAAAGACGCAAAAGGAAACGGUGUGGGCUAGACUGUAUUAGUCCAGUAUGAUAUAUGAUGCAGGACCUUUGUGCGCUCUGGUGCCUCUGCACACGCCGCCUGCGCGCAUUGUGUCAGACUGAGAUGCAGAUGUGCGAGUGUGCAUUCCGCUAUUCUUUUGUUUCUGUUUCUUCUGCGCCCCUUCGGAUCUCUUGAUCUUCUAUCGAUGAAUGUUCCUUUCCUCCGCCCCAUCCUCGAACAGGGGAAACAGGUGUGCAGUUGACAGUAAGCGGGUUUCACAGGCUUUCACGGCUCUUCCUUGUACAUCCUUUCAGAUACCCGCUUCUCCAACUCCACGGCUGCACCUUGCGAUAACGAAGGUUCUCUAUGAACUGAGCACUUCCACCGGACGGCACUCAGCGACUGUAGCUGUCGCCCUCCCCCUUCCCGCU
rnacentral:misc_RNA from 1 species